CCUACGGGUGGCAGCAGUGAGGAAUAUUGGUCAAUGGGCGGGAGCCUGAACCAGCCAAGUCGCGUGAGGGAAGACGGUCCUAUGGAUUGUAAACCUCUUUAGUCGGGGAGCAAUACCGGGCACGCGUGCCCUGCGGGAUAGUACCCGCAGAAUAAGCAUCGGCUAACUCCGUGCCAGCAGCCGCGGUAAUACGGAGGAUGCGAGCGUUAUCCGGAUUUAUUGGGUUUAAAGGGUGCGUAGGCGGAUUUUUAAGUCAGCGGUAAAAUGUACGGGCUAAACCCGUGCUGGCCGUUGAAACUGGGGAUCUUGAGUGGGCGAGAAGUAGGCGGAAUGCGUGGUGUAGCGGUGAAAUGCAUAGAUAUCACGAAGAACUCCGAUUGCGAAGGCAGCAUACCGGAGCCCGACUGACGCUGAGGCACGAAAGCGUGGGGAUCGAACAGGAUUAGAUACCCGAGUAGUC
rnacentral:rRNA from 1 species